AAUUUGGGAGACAUGUGUGGGUGACAUUGAGAAACGUAUCGAAAAAUAAAAAUUUUGAAUUUAGUCAUAACCUCAAGCGAUAUAUUAUACGCAUUACCAUUAGUUUUGAGCGCGUGUUACAGCAAUUUUCGUCCAAGCACAAACCGCAAACAUUUUCGCGCGUUUGUUUACGUUUGAAACGGGGCGUUUACCGUUGGAAACUGAAAUGUUUCACCGCUCAUGUGACGUGUCACAUUGAAAAGCCUUAAGCUAUUUUUGGCGCAACUGUCAUGUUUUGAUGUGCUUCCGUGCACGUUUCAAUAUUUCCAAGCCCAUGAUAAUACGUUUUAGUCACAAAAAGUAUGAAUAUAAACAAGUUUGGUCGCUCUUACAAUAUCGUGAGCUUGGAAAUACUGAAAAGUACACGAAAGCACAUAAAAACAUGAAAAAUAACUGAAUUAGGCUUUUCACUAUAACACGUCACAUGAGCAGUGAAACAUUCCGUUUCCAACGGUAAACGCCACGUUUCAAACGUAAACAAACGCGCGAAAAUGUUUGCGGUUUGUGCUUGGACGAAAAUUGCUGUACGUAACAUACAAAGACUGCUACACAAGCCCUUUAACAUUCUCAACUUCCUUUUACAACAUUUAGGCCUUUUACCUCAGAAUAUAAGUUCAACUGUCAGAAUAUAAGUUCAACCUCAGAAUAUAAGUUUGACUCUCUACUACAAAAUAUUUGAUUGGCG